GUAUAUAUAAAUCUCAGUAACGCUUUUUAUCUCAAACUAGUUGGUGGAUGAAAAUGAAAAGCAUAAUGGUAGAAAGACUGAAAGAAAUAGAAAGAUAAAUCAGAUAAAAAAAUACGAAAGAAUAAAAUAAAAAUGAUAAAUAAAAUAUAAUAAACAGAUGCAAUGCAAGAAAUUAUUUAAAAUAUACGCCCACAUAAUUAUUUUACAAGGGAGUGAUCCAUAGCCACCGCUAGCUAUGGAUCAUUUCCCAGCCAGUUGAUCUAUAGCCAAUCAUCUCAACAACGGACGACCAGAUUAGAAAGGGAUAAUUACUAUCCGCAAGUUCCAUGGACCUAUGUGUGUACGUAUACAUAAGAACAAGGCAUUGAACAACUGCUAAACGGCUAAAAGAUCCUUGCAUUUCUCUCUAUCCAAAACCUGGAGAAUCGCUAAGCAUCUGGACUUGCACAGGGCUAUAAGUUGUUGCUUCGGUAAGAAUUAACUCCAAAUAUAUCAUAAUACUGUUUCUUUUAUCUGGUUGCCUGAUUCUGCUACUGCUUGCUUGUGACUACUGAAAAUAAAGCUUAUUGUUUCAUUGAUUUUUAUUAGGAAAAUGACUUGUUGAACUUAGAAACAUAAACAAAUUUGUCGAAAGCUCUAGACAGGGAAUCUUGCAAGAGAUACCUAUCCUAGCCUGGCGAUUUGGGAGUUGGGACCUUAUUAAAGACUGCAUAGCCUCAGUUUUCGUGAGGUAAAGUAUUAUCCUAGAUGGAGGAAACGUGGUAAUGCCAUAUUUGGUUGCACAAAAGAAGGCUGUUGAAAGAGAGGCAGACGAUAUGAGCACUCUUUUUUUGCAUUCAUAUUGAAAUGUCUCUUUAUCCAUCACACCACCAGCUGGCUUGGCUAUUGGGUUGCCCUGGCCACUGGUAGAUCACUUCAACCAGGUGUUUAAGUUUAAUGAUGUUUAUGAUUGAUAUAC
rnacentral:lncRNA from 1 species